rnacentral:misc_RNA from 1 species
GAUGAAGAACGUAGCGAAAUGCGAUAAGUAAUGUGAAUUGCAGAAUUCCGUGAAUCAUCGAAUCUUUGAACGCACAUUGCGCCCCCUGGCAUUCCGGGGGGCAUGCCUGUCCGAGCGUCAUUUCUGCCCUCCAGCCCGGCUGGGUGUUGGGCGCUGUCCCCCCGGGGACACGCCCCAAAGGCAGUGGCGGCGCCUCGUCGGGUCCUCGAGCGUAUGGGGCUUUGUCACCCGCUCGGGACGGACUCGUCGGCGCUGGUCUUCCUCCAGGCGACCCUUCGGGGCUCGUCUUCCUUCGGUUGACCUCGGAUCAGGUAGGGUUACCCGCUGAACUUAAGCAUAUCAAUAAGCGGAGGA